AAUUUUAAAUUUAUUGUUUAGAUUUUAAAUUUAAAAUUCUAAAUUUAAAAUUUAAAAUUCUAAAUUUAAAAUUCUAAAUUUAAAAUUUAAAAUUUUUUAUUUUUAAUUUUUAAGGUUCAAAAUUUUAAAAUUAAAUUUAGAUUUUAUAUUUUAAAUUUUUAAUUUUAAAAAUUUAAAAUUUAAAAUUUAAAAUUUCACAUUUCACAUAUCAAAUUUUAAAUUUUAAAUUCAUUGAAAUUUGAAUUUGAAAUUUGAAAUUUGAAAUUUAAAAUUUGAAACUUUAAUUUUUAAUUUUAAAAUUUAGAGAAAUCCCGUGGAAUUGCACAAUGCUCAUCCAAACAGUUUAAAAAUUAAAUCCGUAGAAUUUUUUUAGACUUACAGGAUUCUCUAUUUUACUUGGACUAAAACCACAGUUUAUAAAUUUCGUGGAAAUUUUUACUGUGUAAUCCAAACAGGCCCUUAAACUUUUUGACAAAGAAUACUCAGAUAUUUAAUAGCUAAUAUCUGGACACGACAAUCUUGACCUAAACCACUGGUGUCCACGGGUUAUUCGUAAAUUUACAGAUAUAGAUAUCAAUAUUUUCAAUCUAAAAAAUUACGGAUAAAACGGAUGGAUACCUAUUAAGCAAUGGACAAUUUAAGUAAUUCCCGGGUACCCACGGAUACCCUCACAUAUAUUUUUUAAUUAUAAAAUAUAUUUUCUUAAUUAAUAUAUUAUUUUAUUUAACCAUCUUAAAAGUUCUAAUCCUAAUUUUUUAUUGCGUAUAUUUUAUAUUAUGAAAUAUUUUUGCUUUAAGAUUUUAAAUAUUUUUAUUGUAUGUUAUGAUAUUUAAAUAAUGAGUUAUAUUACGCUUUUAAAACUUACAUAUUUGUGUUUUGCAUUUAAAAAAUAUAAGAGUAGAAAAAAAAAUUGUGGGUAACUCACAUACACACCUGCCCAUCCGGGGGUGAGUAUGGAUAAAGAUAUUGGCUACCAAAAAAUUUGCGGAUAAAUUUUACUCAUGCCCAAAUAAGCUGCGGAUACAAUAACUCGCAUGCGGGUUACCCAAUUCGCCGGUUUGCUAGGUCU
rnacentral:lncRNA from 1 species